rnacentral:rRNA from 1 species
UGGAGAACAGAAAUCUCCA